GAGAGGGACUCCUGUCGCAGGAGAGAUGGCGCCUACUACCAUCAAUGAGCCAUUGUUGUUCCAUUAUUGAGUUGGUAAGCUUCGUCUCUCCUCGACUGAAGUCCUUUUCAAU
rfam:Gossypium raimondii Chr01_contig_1286, whole genome shotgun sequence.